rnacentral:rRNA from 1 species
CACGUAGGGUGCGAGCGUUGUCCGGAAUUAUUGGGCGUAAAGAGCUCGUAGGCGGUGUGUCGCGUCGGCCGUGAAAACUUGCAGCUUAACUGUGGGCGUGCGGUCGAUACGGGCAUCACUGGAGUUCGGCAGGGGAGACUGGAAUUCCUGGUGUAGCGGUGAAAUGCGCAGAUAUCAGGAGGAACACCGGUGGCGAAGGCGGGUCUCUGGGCCGAUACUGACGCUGAGACGCGAAAGCGUGGGGAGCAAACAGG